UUUAUUUGAUUUCCUUCGGGACUGAUUAUUUUGUGACUGAGUGGCGGACGGGUGAGUAACGCGUGGGUAACCUGCCUUGUACAGGGGGAUAACAGUUGGAAACGGCUGCUAAUACCGCAUAAGCGCACAGCAUCGCAUGGUGCAGUGUGAAAAACUCCGGUGGUAUAAGAUGGACCCGCGUUGGAUUAGCUAGUUGGUGAGGUAACGGCCCACCAAGGCGACGAUCCAUAGCCGACCUGAGAGGGUGACCGGCCACAUUGGGACUGAGACACGGCCCAAACUCCUACGGGAGGCAGCAGUGGGGAAUAUUGCACAAUGGGCGAAAGCCUGAUGCAGCGACGCCGCGUGAGCGAAGAAGUAUUUCGGUAUGUAAAGCUCUAUCAGCAGGGAAGAUAAUGACGGUACCUGACUAAGAAGCACCGGCUAAAUACGUGCCAGCAGCCGCGGUAAUACGUAUGGUGCAAGCGUUAUCCGGAUUUACUGGGUGUAAAGGGAGCGCAGGCGGUGCGGCAAGUCUGAUGUGAAAGCCCGGGGCUCAACCCCGGUACUGCAUUGGAAACUGUCGUACUAGAGUGUCGGAGGGGUAAGCGGAAUUCCUAGUGUAGCGGUGAAAUGCGUAGAUAUUAGGAGGAACACCAGUGGCGAAGGCGGCUUACUGGACGAUAACUGACGCUGAGGCUCGAAA
rnacentral:rRNA from 1 species